CCUACGGGAGGCAGCAGUGGGGAAUAUUGCACAAUGGAGGAAACCCUGAUGCAGCGACGCCGCGUGAGUGAAGAAGUAUCUCGGUACGUAAAGCUCUAUCAGCAGGGGAGAAAAUGACGGUACCUGACUAAGAAUCCCCGGCUAACUACGUUCCAGCAGCCGCGGUACUACGUAGGGGGCGAGCGUUAUCCGGAUUCACUGGGUGUAAAGGGGGCGUAGACGGCCGUGCAAGCCAGGAGUGAAAGCCCGGGGCCCAACCCCGGGACGGCUCUUGGAACUGUGCGGCGGGAGUGCGGGAGGGGCAGGCGGAAUUCCUGGUGUAGCGGUGAAAUGCGUAGAUAUCUGGAGGAACACCGGCGGCGAAGGCGGCCUGCUGGACCGCGACUGACGUUGAGGCUCGAAAGCGUGGGGAGCGAACAGGAUUAGAUACCCUGGUAGUC
rnacentral:rRNA from 1 species